UAAGGUCUGUUAUCAAACUUUCCAUUUCCUAAAAAAUUUAUAUAAAAAAUGCCUUCAAGUCUUCAUGAUAGUUUAUAGUAUAGAUAGAAAGAACAGUGAUUCAAAACGGGCAACAAACUGAUUCAUAAUUCUUGCAAUGAGAUAUUAAUACAAGGCUUACCCAAGUGAUAGCAUCAGACUGAGCUUUGAAGGCCCUCAAAACCGCGCUAUAUGCUUCCUGUUCUAUAAGGUGAAUUUGUGUCGCCAUGUCAUUUUGAAUUCGAGGAAAUGGAGCAUUUCCAACAGCCAUAGUUCUUCCGUUCCCAGUACCCGGGGCCCCACCCCGGAAUUUGUUUUGAUGUGAAGGAGGAAGAUCAUCAUCUGUACCUGCAGUUAACAUCACAAAAAAUUUUGUUAUCGGUAGUUAGGUAUUCUAAUGGUAUCUAUGAAGCAGAUAUACAUAGGAAUCAUAUAUAUAUGUGUUGACUUUAUGAGUAAAAGCUUAAAUCUUUCUAGCUUAAA